rnacentral:rRNA from 1 species
GACAGAGGGGGCAAGCGUUGCUCGGAAUCACUGGGCGUAAAGGGCGCGUAGGCGGGACGCCAAGUCGGUCGUGAAAUCUCCGGGCUCAACCCGGAGGAGUCGGCCGAAACUGGUGUUCUUGAGGGAGGCAGAGGAGUCUGGAAUUCCGGGUGUAGUGGUGAAAUGCGUAGAGAUCCGGAGGAAUACCAGUGGCGAAGGCGGCACGCUGGGCCAUAACUGACGCUAAGGCUCGAAAGCAUGGGUAGCGAACGGG